ACAUAUUUCAAAAAAUCUUUUAGUCUCCACGAAGCCCUUCUUUCCUUUUUUCAGUCUGGUAACCUUAGUCAACUUUUCUCUUGUGUGCGACGAACAUAACCCGAAACACCACCCAGCAUGUAAUGUCCUUCUCACUUUUUUAGUGCCUCUUUCGUAAGAAUAUGGGCAUAUGUAUUCUCUGCUUUAGGGAUAAAAUGAAAUCCGAUCUCCUGAAAAUAAAUAUUUUUACUGUGGAUAUCUCUGAUGAGUGCCCCAAUAAAUGAGUGCCCCAAUAAUCGAUCUGUCGAAAUCUGUAGUUUGACAUUUCUUUAUUACAGUUCUUGAAUCUCCCAUUAUUUCCAGAAUACUAAAACCCAUAGAAAUUCCUAAUUGCAUGGCUUGUAAUCCUGCAUGUACCUCCGCUGCAAACGGAGAUGCUACAUCGGAGUGGAGAACCGUAUUUGAUUCCAAAAGUUCACCCCCCACAUCUCGUACUACCAAUCCUGAAGCAGAUCUGGAAGAUCGUUGAUCAAAAGCUGCGUCAAAGUAGAUCGUCACCCGCGUUCUCCUAUCGACAUGUUUAUGGCCUCUGUCUAUUUUUAAGAAUAACCAAAGUCCGUAACAAAAAAGACGACAUUGUUCGCUAGUCCCCCAACUAAAAACCCCAGGACACUGCUGAAAUAUAUGGUUACUGUCUUCCUCAAAGUGACGACACUGGGGACAGUGAGCUUCCACAGCCAUUUUUUUAUGCUUGAGAUUAGCUAGAAUAGGAAUAUAAUUCCUGGAGAUUCUUCAUACUGCUAUUUUAACUUUUGAAGGAAUGUAUAAAUUCCAUAGUUUUCUGUAAAAAUCUUUAGUCUCAGCAUGUAUAAUAUUAUUACUAGGAUUAGUCUCCUGUAAUAGUUUAUAAGCGCUUCUAACUGAGAAAUCGCCAGACGGUUCUCUCUACACUUGGAAGUCUUCGUGUACGGUCUCCGCCAAAGGGAUCUACAUAAUUUUCUUUGCACUAUCCACAUUAAAGUUAUUAACAAUUAUAUUUUUUUUCCAA